CAGGCGAAGUCAUUAAUCCUAUGCUGCCUAGAAAAGCCCAGUAGCGAGUUGACAUGGUGCCCGUACCCCAAACCAACACAGGUGGACAGGUAGAGCAUACCAAGGCGAGUGGGAUAACUAUGGUUAAGGAACUCGGCAAAUUUCCUCCGUAACUUCGGGAUAAGGAGGACCCCAGUAGCGUGACGAGACUUGCUCUCCGAGCGUGAAGGGGUGGCACAAAAUUGAGGGAAGCGACUGUUUACCAAAAACACAGCAGCGUGCUAAGCCGUAAGGCGCUGUAUACGCUGUGACUCCUGCCCGGUGCUGGAAGGUUACGGGGAUGGGUUAGUCCUUCGGGACGAAGCUCUGAACCUAAGCCCCAGUAAACGGCGGCCGUAACUAUAACGGUCCUAAGGUAGCGAAAUUCCUUGUCGGGUAAGUUCCGACCUGCACGAAUGGAGUAACGACUUCCCUACUGUCUCAACCAUAGACCCAGCGAAAUUGAAGUACGAGUAAAGAUGCUCGUUAGCUGCAGAAGGACGGAAAGACCCCGUGGACCUUUACUAUAACUUGAUGUUGUGUUUUGUCAUAUGUUGUGUAGGAUAGGUGGGAGACAAGGAAGCAUGGACGCUAGUCUGUGUGGAGUCAUCGUUGAAAUACCACCCUGCAUAUGGUGAGGCUCUAACCUAGACCCGUUAUCCGGGUCGGGGACAGCGUCAGGCGGGUAGUUUAACUGGGGCGGUUGCCUCCUAAAGAGUAACGGAGGCGCCCAAAGGUUCCCUCAGCCUGGUUGGCAAUCAGGCGCCGAGUGCAAUGGCAAAAGGGAGCUUGACUGCGAGACCUACAAGUCGAGCAGGAGCGAAAGCUGGGCAUAGUGAUCCGGCGGUUGCGUGUGGAAGCGCCGUCGCUCAACGGAUAAAAGGUACCCCGGGGAUAACAGGCUAAUCUUGCCCAAGCGUCCAUAGCGACGGCAAGGUUUGGCACCUCGAUGUCGGCUCAUCGCAUCCUGGGGCUGAAGCAGGUCCCAAGGGUUGGGCUGUUCGCCCAUUAAAGCGGUACGCGAGCUGGGUUCAGAACGUCGUGAGACAGUUCGGUCCCUAUCCUCUGUAGCCGUAGGUGAAUUGAGGAAAGCUGUCCCUAGUACGAGAGGACCGGGACGGACGCAGCUCUCGUGUGCCAGUUGUCCUGCCAAGGGCAUGGCUGGUUAGCGACCUGCGAAUGGAUAACCGCUGAAAGCAUCUAAGCGGGAAGCCUCUUCCAAGAUGAAUUCACCCACAGGGUUAACCUGGUAAGGCCCGUGGUAGACCACCACGUUGAUAGGCCGGAAGUGUAAGCGUGGCAACACGUUCAGCUGACCGGUACUAAUCGGCCGAGGGCUUGAAUUC
rnacentral:rRNA from 1 species